AUCCAUGGACACCUCUUGCUAGCCCACUAAGUCCUUAUGCCAGUCCAUUAGAACCAAAUCCUUCUGUUAUUAAUUUUAAUUUAUCUGAAGAUCCAUGGUGCGAACAAGAUGCUUCCAACAGUGGUCAUCAUGAAUUCCGAUUUAUGCCUUUCAAGCACCAGUAGAGGAAGAAGAAGAAGAAGACCCGGAAGACGUCGAAGGAGACACGACCACAGCGCCCCCAGGAGAAUCAGGAGGCCGGUAGCGACAGCAACCACAACAAUAACAAAGACUUUUUCGAGGCGCCUGCUUAUUGUCUAAUUCGUGAAUAUCUGGACAGAUAUGAGGUAAAAAUUAAUGCUCUAUCGGAUUCUAUAGGCCAGCAGCAGCGUGUGAUUGAAAAUGUCAAGGAUUUCUUGUCUGAACAACAGCGACGUAUGGAUGAAAAAAUU
ensembl:processed_transcript